GACCCUGGCUCAGGAUGAACGCUAGCUACAGGCUUAACACAUGCAAGUCGCGGGGCAGCAUGAAGGAUGCUUGCAUCUUUUGAUGGCGACCGGCGCACGGGUGAGUAACGCGUAUCCAACCUGCCUGUUACCACGGCACAGCCCGUCGAAAGGCGGAUUAAUGCCGUAUGUGGUCCUUUGCGGGCAUCUAAUUAGGACUAAAGGUUCGGCGGUAACGGAUGGGGAUGCGUCCGAUUAG
rnacentral:rRNA from 1 species